GGGGGUAUAGCUCAGCUGGUAGAGCACCUGCCUUGCACGCAGGGGGUCAGCGGUUCGAGUCCGCUUACCUCCA
rnacentral:tRNA from 3 species